UUGAUUUUCUAUACUUAGAAAAUCAAAAAAUUUGAUUUCUAAACUAAUAAUUUAAACCCUAAAAAAACUAUACCUUUUUUUUUCAAAACCCCAAAAAUACCCCCAAACUAAAACUAUCUCUCUUUCUCUCUCUAUCUAGCCGGUCCCAAGAAUCCCACACCCCAGGUCCGACCAUCGGACCUCUCUCUUCCCCUCUCUCUCAAAUCGCGGGAAAAAAAAAAAAAAAAAUUAAAAGCCGGUCGGACCUUCGGGUCCGAUGGGUCCGACCAUCGGACCUCUUUCUUCCUCUCUCUCCAAAAUCGCAGAAAAAAAAAAAAAAAUUUAAAAGACGGUCGGACCUUGGGGUCCGAUGGGUCCGAUGGUCGGACCCAUCGGACCCCCAAGGUCCGACCAUCGGACCUCUGUCUUCUUCCCUCUCUCAAAUCGCGGGGAAAAAAAA